AAAGCAAACCGGCUUAUCGCCCCGACUUGUCGGGGAGGAAAGUCCGGGCAACAUAGGGCACCGUACUUCCUAACGGGAAGGGUUCUUCGCAGGAGGAAAACAGAUAGCGCCACAGAAAACAAACUACUCGUCCCGACUUGUCGGGAUGGGAAAAGGUGAAAAGGUGAGGUAAGAGCUCACCGGCAUAUCAGUGAUGAUGUGAGCAUGGCAAGCCUUACGGGUUGAAAGGCCAAAUAGGCCACGCUUCGAAAGAUGCCGCGGCCCGCGGCAUGCGCAAGCUGGCGUGGUUGGGUAGGCUGCUCGAUCGUGCAGGCGACUGUACGGCUAGAUAAAUGAUAGGCACCCCGACUUGUCGGGGUACAGAACCCGGCUUACAGGUUUGCUUUUAUU
rnacentral:RNase_P_RNA from 1 species